AUUUAUAUAAUUAUUUAUUUUUUGAUGACAUCUUCAAAGUUCAAACAAAUCUCAUACUGAAUGCUUCAAUAAAACAGUGUUUUUGGACAUGUUUUAUUAUUACUAUUGUCAUUAUUUAUUUAUUCUAUUUCAUUUUUUUGUUUUGUAAGCUGCGACUUUGGCUUUGGCACGCAAGUGGUUAACAUGCUUCCAGGUUGCACGUAACGUCAUUCAUGGCGUCAGGCAAGCACCGGGCGCACAGAGGCAGCCAGGCAGGACGAUGUCACAGAAAAAAAUAUCCCAGUUCCUUACCCCAAAGGUUGCAAGCAGUCAAAGAGAUGAUGAUGAUCAAGAUGGCGCUGCUGCUGCUUCUUCUUCAAAUGCUGCUGCCAUCAUACAGAGAAGUGCAAGGGAUAUUGAAGCCCCAGAUGUGUCAAAAUCCUGG